UACGUAGGGUGCGAGCGUUGUCCGGAAUUAUUGGCGUAAAGGGCUCGUAGGCGGUUUGUCGCGUCGGGAGUGAAAUCCACUGGCUUAACUGGUGGCUUGCUUUCGAUACGGGCAGACUGGAGGUAUGCAGGGGAGAACGGAAUUCCUGGUGUAGCGGUGAAAUGCGCAGAUAUCAGGGGGAACACCGAUGGCGAAGGCAGGUCUCGUGGGCCACUACUGACGCUGAGAAGCGAAAAGCGUGGGGGAGCGAACGAGGAAG
rnacentral:rRNA from 1 species